UAGAAGCAGCUGAAAAGGAAAAAAUGAGAGAGAAGGUGCAAAAGAUCAUUAGUCAUGGAAUAAAUUGCUUUGUUAACCGACAGCUGAUCUACAAUUUCCCAGAGGAACUAUUUGCCGAUGCAGGGGUACUUGCAAUAGAACAUGCCGACUUUGAUGGUAUUGAGCGGUUGGGUUUAGUUACUGGGGGAGAAAUUGCGUCAACCUUUGAUAACCCAGAGUCUGUCAAGCUUGGCCACUGCAAACUUAUUGAGGAG
rnacentral:lncRNA from 1 species